GUGGGUAGCGGAGAAAUUCCAAUCGAACUUGGAGAUAGCUGGUUCUCUCCGAAAUAGCUUUAGGGCUAGCCUCGAGGUAAAGAGUCAUGGAGGUAGAGCACUGUUUGGACUAGGGGCCCUUCUCGGGUUACCGAAUUCAGAUAAACUCCGAAUGCCAUGUACUUAUACUCGGGAGUCAGACUGCGAGUGAUAAGAUCCGUAGUCGAAAGGGAAACAGCCCAGACCACCAGUUAAGGUCCCCAAAUAUAUGUUAAGUGGAAAAGGAUGUGGGGUUGCUUAGACAACCAGGAUGUUGGCUUAGAAGCAGCCACCAUUGAAAGAGUGCGUAAUAGCUCACUGGUCGAGUGACCCCGCGCCGAAAAUGUACCGGGGCUAAACAUAUUACCGAAACUGUGGAUGAACCUCUUUAGAGGUUCGUGGUAGGAGAGCGUUCUAAGGGCGGUGAAGUCAGACCGGAAGGACUGGUGGAGCGCUUAGAAGUGAGAA
rnacentral:rRNA from 1 species